GGCCUAACACAUGCAAGUCGAGCGGUAUAAGAUCUUCGGAAUCUAGAGAGCGGCGUACGGGUGCGGAACACGUGUGCAACCUACCUUUAUCAGGGGGAUAGCCUUUCGAAAGGAAGAUUAAUACCCCAUAAUAUAUUGACUGGCAUCAGUCGAUAUUGAAAACUCCGGUGGAUAGAGAUGGGCACGCGCAAGAUUAGAUAGUUGGUAGGGUAACGGCCUACCAAGUCAGUGAUCUUUAGGGGGCCUGAGAGGGUGAUCCCCCACACUGGUACUGAGACACGGACCAGACUCCUACGGGAGGCAGCAGUGAGGAAUAUUGGACAAUGGGUGAGAGCCUGAUCCAGCCAUCCCGCGUGAAGGACGACGGCCCUAUGGGUUGUAAACUUCUUUUGUAUAGGGAUAAACCUACUCUCGUGAGAGUAGCUGAAGGUACUAUACGAAUAAGCACCG
rnacentral:rRNA from 1 species